rnacentral:lncRNA from 1 species
CGGAUGGCGUCAGAAAUUUAAAAACUAUAGUCCUUAACUUUCAACAGAGCCAUCAGGAGUCUCAUGCCAGGGAGCCUGAACGAAUACUGCCUGGGACUGACAUCAGGACAAUGCGAAGGAGCCUCAAAAGAUGAACAGAGGCGGGAUGCUGGAGUCAAGUCUGCAAGAGACCCACUCAGAGGAGCCUGUAAACGUUGACUUUGUGUGGAAUUGGCUUGUCCUAACAUCAUCCAUCACUGUAGACCCUAAUUCAUUGGAUUGAAUGGCUUUUUUUUUUUUUUUGCAAAGAAAUACUUGCAGUAAUAUUUGCUUUGCAUCUUGGGAAUCAUAUG